AGACAGAAGUAUCCCGGGGAUUUUUCGGUUGCGCAGGCGUGGAAGUGGGCGACAGCAUGCCAGAACUGGCACGCGGUGGCAGAUGCACGAACGCACAGCGAAGGGCCGGCGGGCAGGCAACGCGCGGAAGUUAAGCAUAUCAGUACGCGCAGGAAAGGAAACCAAGCGGGACAGCAUUAGUAGUGGCGAACGAAAAUGCACGAGUUCAGAUGGAAAGCUACGGCGGUGUACCAACGAGCACGGCGGCGCAGGCAUAUGGAAGUAUGGCCGAGACAGGGGGAAGGGCCCGUACGGCGGCGUGAGAAAGACGAGUAACACUGCAUGGACCAGUGUGAAUGUGGGUGUUUCAUCCAAGACUAAGUACGAGGCGCAAACCGAUAGCGAAGAAGUAGGGCGACCGAAGAAAGAAAAGCAGCCAUUGGCGGUGAAAAGAAAUGAAACGGGAUGCUUUGGAAGGACGGCAAUCGGCACCCGUCUUGAAACACGGGCCAAGGAGAGCAUAUCGCUGGCGGACUAUGCAGGUGCGAGCACGGACGAGUCAGCGGUGUGCGACCCGAAGACUUGCGAGCUAUACAGGUGUGGGUUGAAGCGGAGUCCGUGGAGGAGGAUAUACUAGCUGACGAGCAAUUCGCAGUAUUGACACUGGUAUAGGGGCGAAAGACCUAACGAGCAGGUGGAUAGCUGGUACCCCUCGAAAUGCGUCUCAGCGCAGCUGUUCUUAUUGGGACGUCGCGUAGAAGCGAAGUUUCAAGUGGCGUUCAGUAUGGACAAGUGGGCAUUUUCUGGUAAGCAGGACAUGCGAGACGGGAUGAAGCGAGAAGCAGGUAAGACAAGCAAGAGUUUCUAACGCUGCGGGGUGGUCGAGACAGCAGGGCUGUAGUCAUAGCAGUCGACAGCAGGCAAGGAGCGUGUUACAACGCACCUGCCGAACCAGCGCGGGCGGUAAAUGGAUUUUCAGCGGUCGAGCCUUACUGGUAGGGGGGAAGCAGUGCGCUGUUGAGUGCGGGCAGCGAUGCGCGCGUGAGGCGCACUGCGGUACGAUCUUGGAGCGAGUAGCGGAACUUUUCAGGGUCUUGUGAAGGGAUCCAACGCAACAUGGGUGGCGAUUGGACGAAACUAGCUAAGCAUGGCGAAGCGCGAAUUUCAGGAUUUCCGCGCAUCAUUGGCAACGGCGCGGCACUCGGCAGAGAGAGCAGGCGGCACACGCGACAUGGCGGGAGAGGGCGUGGCUUGCGCUGAGAGUUGGUCAGCGACGCGGAGGCACACCCGGAUGGCCGUACGCUCUGCUUGGGGAAGCAGGGAGCCGAUAUUGCGUGAUAGUACCGGAACCGCAACAGGGCAGAGCCGUUGGCAGACCGCAGGGAACGAUGGCUAGGGAAGUCGGCAACAGGAUGGGUAACCUCGGGACAACCAUUCCUCGCCCAGCUUCGGCUUGGGCUGAGGGCACUCUUGCGAGCCGGACUGUUUAAUAAAAACACAGCCCCCCGACGCAUGGGGGGUGAGUUCUGCCCAGUGCCUGACAGUCAAGACGUGACUAGUUGAAGCGCAGGUAAACGGCGGAAGUAACUAUGACUUUCUUAAGGUAGCAAAAUACCUCGUCAUGUAAUUAGUGACGCGCAUGAAUGGAUUAACCAGGUUCGCACUGUCCCAGCCAUCUGCUGCGUGAAAGAACAGCGAGGGGAACGGGCCUUGCUCCGGAAGCGGGGAAAGAAGACCCUGUUGAGUUUUGCGGCAGGCAGCGGUCCCGUGCGCGCCGCGCGCGUUGAGCGACCGUUUGAAGCGCGCGGUGAGAGAGACGGGCGUGCGGCGUGCGGGGCAUGCUGUUGGGGCGCUUAGCUGGGGCGGUAUCCGCACCAGACACGAGCGUGCGGAUCCAGAGUCUGGCAGGUAAAGACAGAAGCUUUAUGGGCGCACAAGGGCAUAAGCAGGCUUGAGAUUGGGGGAAACCCGGGCCUAGCGAUCCUCUGUGCGGCAGAGGUGAUUGAAAAAUUACCACAGGGAUAACUGGCUUGUUGCGACCGAGAGUUCAGAUCGGCGUCGCAUUUUGAUUCUUCGAUGUCGGCUCUUAAUAGCGCCCGCAUGCACAAGUGCGGGAGCGUUGGAUUGUUCACCCACCAACAUUGAACGUGAGCUGGGUUUAGACCGUCGCGAGACAGGUUAGUUUUAACCUACUUCCGGCCGCGGACGUCGCGCACUGCUGAGUACGAGAGGAACGGCAGUGCGUGGCCGCUGCGCUGCACGCCGCGCAUUUGCCUUUACCUGAACACGUUUGGGGGGCUGGGAAGCGCUGACGGCAUCUAAGCGCGAUCCUGCAGGCGGCCGCGGCGCUGGGGCAGACGACCCUCCUCCGGCAGGCACACGGCAAGCACACAGCGCGCCAUGCCUCGCCGUCU
rnacentral:rRNA from 1 species